AUAUUACUGAAGUUAUAGUCAGAUUUAGUUAUGAAAGAUUUCUGUGCUUAAGAAAAUAGAACUUCUCUGCCUCCUCUGCUGUAAGAAAAGAAAAUCAUAUCUUUUUGUAUUUUUCCUUAGCACUGAAGAUUCCUUUCAUCCGCUAGGUUCCUUUGACACAUGUUUAUCCAAUGUUUAUUCACAAGGAAACAUACUCUUGGUAGCUUACCUACAAGAAUAUCGGUUUCUUCAGCCUUUUUUCAUCCUUCCCAUUUUGUAUUGACUAUCUCGGCCUCUUGGCUUCAUAAUAUUAAAAUAUCUAUCUUAGCUAUAUGAGAUUCCAGAGACAGUCAAUUCAGACUAUGUGUAACUGUAGGAAGUUGGGUCAUUGAUAUAUUUUAAGGAUGAAUCAUAACCAAUUAACCCUAAAGCGAUGACCGUAACGAUUUCGUUACGUUUGAAGUAAAUGGACGGCAUGUUAAGACCGUAGACCUUAUCAGCUCACCACCGGGUGCUACGGGAUCCUUACGCUCUGCUGAGUGCUCCUGUCACUGGCAACGCAGUUUAUAAAUGGCAUUUGGCAUUUUGGUUACUCUCUUUGUCAGAGAGGGGUGAUGUGUCGAUGUGUGCACAUGUGUGCAGAUUAUUUCUUCCAUUUCUCUCACUCAUUGUAAAGUAUUUUGCUUCAAAUAAUUUGUCGCAGUUGCCAAAUCUUUGGUGAAAAUAAAGGUAUAAAAGCAGUAAAUCAUUCGCAUUUCUAAAGUCGCAUUUAGGUUAGCUAUUCAAACAUAACUUUUUAGUUGAUUUCGGCCUUCACAAGUAAAAAUACAUGUUAUGCAAAAUUGGAUUCCAUUCAAUUUCACAGCAUACAGAACACUUUGGAGCGCAAUUCCGUGAGUCAGGAUGAUGGCAAGGAUCUCAAGCAGUCAGAUGAUGAUUUUUAUGAGGAUGCACCUGAUUAUGGAACACAGUGGCGGAUCCAGCUCCAGGAGGAACACACACACACCCCUGGCAGGAGCUUGGAAGCUAGCGGGAGAAGAAGACACCAAAAUGAUGUGGCUGAGGAAAGAUCUGAAUGAACAAGAGAGAGACAAGUUGAAUGAACUCAGAGAACCCAAACAGAAGAAGAAGGCUGUCUAUCAAGCUGUCAAUCAUGUCUGGAGUCUAAGGCUCUUCAUCUCAUCAGCUCUCCUCCUCAUGCGGCCCCACUGCACACAACUUUCUACUCAAGCUCAUCCCUUUACUGUCCAAAUCUCUUACACACGAGUUAGGCUGGAUUCACACGAGUCACUUUUUAGUGGUCAGUGGCCGCCACAAAGUAAUGGUUAAAAUAGAACACACACAUCUCUAUGGGUGCAUGCACACAGGCCACUUUUUUGUGGUCGCCACAAAACAGUGGCGAGUUGUGGCGGCCGGAGCCAUUUUUCCGACCAUGACUGUGGCCGGCCACAGUGGCCAGGGAUAGAUACUGUGUUUCAAGUGGCAGCGUGCACACGAGCCACUAUCGGUGGCCACCACCCUGCCAUCCGCCACUUUCCCUCUGUCUUGACACUUGAACACCUGAAUUUUAACUGUCAUAAUGAUGUAUAAGUAUGGCCUUCACGCAUGACUUGUGUUCAGGAUAUAAUGGAUAAGCUCAUAUGCUUUCAGAACUAAUGUUUCAUUUAGUUUCACAGUUUUGCAUAUUAAUUGAUUCUGGUAUGGAUUAAUUACUGAAUGUGGUAGUUUUAUUUACACGGAAGUAGAAAAGAUUUGCCGCGCUGGGCUGAUAUGAUUUUCCACCAAAUUUAGUGAAGAACCCACUCAAUUGGCAAUCCUGUGUUGUGAGAAUUAGUGUUGAAACACUCUCAUAUGCGGGAGAUUUGAGUGCAGGUGGAGCUCGCAGCGAGUGUUUAGCGCCACCAGCAAAUACGCCUAACGCUCGCUGCGAGCUGUGACCUCCUGAAGUAAUAAAAAAAAAUAUAUUGUGUUCUUUUAGCUUUAUAUAUAAUGUGUGGAAUGCUACACGCAGUAGUCUGUUGCUAAGUAUAUAUGAGGUGAACUCAUGGCAGUACUUUCUUCAGCGCUUUUUGCCAAGAGAGCACAGACAGCUGCCGCCUCUACGAGAUCCAUAACGCCACGUACUGACAUCAUUAGUGGCUGCCACCAAGUGGCUCGUGUGCAUGGUGCACCUACCCACCAUUUUUCGUGGCAGCCAUUUUUAGUGGUGGCCACUGACCACUAAAAGUGUCUCGUGUGAACCCAGCCUUAACCAGCAUCUUCACUCUUUCAUACCCUCCUGCCUACCACUUGAACUCAUUCAAGAGGAAGGUAUCAGGACACCUCUUCUCACGUAAUUGACUGCUCUUUCGGCCACCUCUUCGGAUUCUUUACAGGAGCAGCGGGCUUUUUUUUAUUGUCGUUUCCCUUUUUUUGUGCCCUUGUGCUGUCUUCUUUGCUGUAA